UCGGCGGUCGCCGCGCCCGCAGUCUGGAGGCGCCCAGGAGCGGCCGGGCGCCCCCCGCGGGAGCCCGCAGCCACCCGCCGCGCGCAUCCAGCCGCGCUCCUCCGCCCCGCACGCUGCGCCCCGGGGCUCCGCGGACCCUGCGUCGCCGCUGAUUCGGAGCUGGUGCAGCGCGGGCUGGCCGGCGGGGCGGCGAGGCGAGGGCCCGGCCCGCCUCCCCUGCGCCCGCCCCGGCUUCUCCCCCUGGCGGCGGAGCCUCGGCGGCCGCCGGCCACACCGGGCGCGCCGGAGCCCGAGCCGAGCCGAGCCCGAGCCGCUGCCGCCGCGCGCUGCUCCCAGGCUCCCUCCCUGCGCGCCGGCCGGGGUGUCGGGGGGCGGCGGGCCGGAGGGGCGAGGGCGGGCGAGGGGCGCGCACGGGGAUUGGCACCGAAGAUCGGACCCUCAGCCGCGAGGGGACCCCAUACAGGAGCGCUGCACCCCAACUGAAGAGCACGUGGCGGAAGGAAGAGGAGUGGACCCCUGGCCAUUUGUUUGCUAUUUAUCCUCCCAUCGGCAGCUGUACUUUUCUACUCGCUGGAAGAAAGACGCCUAAGCUGAGGUCCAAUUUCUCCAAAAGCUGGAAGCAAAGAGGGCCAGUGAUGAGGGGGCGAGGGGAUGUACCCCAAAGGGGCCUGAAACUCCAAAAACCUCUGCAAGAUCAGGGGUGACUGGAGGUUCAGGACCCCAGCUAAGGUGAAACGGAAAUUCAACUUUGCCCCUCUCCUCUUGCCAUCCGUCCCCACCCCCACCCCCAACUCUAAGGAAGCUAACAGGUCUUUUGUUUUUGUGUUGUGUCGCCUUUGGAAAAUUUGCAUUGAGUAUGACAACAAAAAAUUACUACUGUUUACUCAAAGUGUAAGGGGAUUGCAGAAAGGGAAAAAAACAACAACAAUAUAGUCUACUUUUUCUCUUCGUGCGUGCGUGCGUGCGUGUGUGUGUGUGUGUGUGUGUGUGUAGUUGUUAGGUUCAGGGCUUGAACUGCAAAACCUCAGUUUGUAACAAUAAGAAUUGCAGAGCCGCCCCGGCGUAUUUUUAGAAGCUGCACUUUCUUGAGUUCCUUUCACACAAGGCUUGCUCUCUCAUUAAACCCCCAUAAAUAAUUGUAUUUACCAAGAAGGAAACUAUGGUAGCAGGAGGGAGAUUGCUAAGAUCUCCAUCUCGCUAGUCUGGAACACAGUUUACAGUGAAGUUCCUGGAAAGUGACUGUGGGCUGAGAAUUCAGCUUUUUCCUAAAAGCUCUGUUAGGUCCUCCCUGUCAAAUGUCUAUGAAUAAAGCACACUGGGAAAAUCCUGACAUCCGUGCAGUCUUAUUUUAUCUUACACAGUGGCGGAUUCUACUUUCAAGCCCUGGUAACAAAUACGUCAACUGUGCUGUAUUUUGGUGUGGGUUUUCUAAAUAAAGGAGAGUCGCCCAUGUAUUCAUGCUGCUUUCUCAUCUGCCAGUUCUUUUCUAUCAAUGGGUAUUGAAUUCACUGGAAUGUAUCCGUCUUUUUUCCAGCUGAUUGUCAUUUUAGGCGGAGGCAACAAUUCCAAAGACAUAAGAAUAUGAAAAGUUUAUUUUAGAGAAAUAGCCCUCAUUUUUUUUUUAAGACACAGGUGCCCACCGCAGUUCCUGGUUCUGUAAAGCAGGGCAAAAAAAAAUGUGUAAAUGAUUGUGAUGCGAAAAAACAAAAUAAAGCACAAGUUUUCUUUCCUGGAUCACUUUCUUCCCCUGCAGGGCCCAGGAGACACCAAAUCCUGCCUUAGUUUCCGAAAAUGCUGAAUUGCCUAACCAGUACCAAUAUUUCCAUCUGGGAAUGACAUCAG